CCGUCCUCCAGAAAGCGAGCGAUGAGGAAGUAGAGCUCUGAGGGGAGAGGAGAGGCGGAAGAGUCUCGGCUCCACCAUUCAACCCACGGGCAGGAGGAGGAAACAACAACUCACAGCAACCCGCCGCCAACGCCGCCGCUGCUGCCGCCGCCAGCCAGCCAGCCAGCGCGAGCGAGCGCGAUCCCUCCGCCCGGAGAAAGAGUCCCCUCCUCCUCCUCCUCCUCCGCGCCCCCCUCCUCAGCCCUCCCGGCCCCUCGCGCCGCCCCUCCCCCCGCGCCCCUCAGUCCCCGGCGGCCAGGCGGGGAAAAGGGGAGGGGGGGGGGAGAAAGCUGGGUUCUCCUAGCCCCCCCCUUCUCCCGCCCCGCCGCCGCUACGGCGGCCCCCGGCUGAGGGGAAGAAGGGGUCGAGGGCGAGCGCUACGUGUUUUAUUAGCGGGCGGGCUGAGGCAGAAGAUGUCGGAGCGGCAGAGGCGGGGUGGGCGGGAAGGCGGCGGGCUGGCGGCUGAAAAGCGCUUUCUCUGCGAGACGUGCGGGACUGACGAAUCUUCUGGCUUCUAGGAGCGAUGGCAAGAGGAGGAGGAGGAGGAGGAGGAGUGUUGUCAACGCGAGGACAAGCGAGGGAUGGUGAUGCCUGCAACCUAUGGCUGAACUGGAGGUAAUUCACUAGCGGAUCAAUAAUGUGCCGAAGGUUCCUGAAAGGCUGCAACGUUGUACGGAGCCUGAUUAGCGAUCAAAUCAUUUAUUUAUUUAAUGUUCGGUAGCGUGACGGUACCGAAUAAACGUUCCGAUUUGUGCUGUAACUGUUUAUUUGCUGCUUGCAGUCAAAAAGGAAAAGAAAAUAAAAGCAAAGCAAACGUCCACUGAUAAUUACCUUUAAAAAAAAUCGGUAUCCGAUGAGGAAGGGGUUUAAAGGAGCUUAAUUACUCAUCUUUAUGGUUUGCAGUGCAUCUGUGCUUUUUCAGGUCGAGCUGGGGCCUUGCAAGAACGAACGUGUUUGUGGACAAUAAGAAUGGAUUUAGCAGGGAACGAUGUAAAUGGGGGAAGCUGUCAUUUUUUAAUAUUUAUUUUGCCCCAAUUAUUAACUAACGUAACUUGUGAAGCGAAGCCAAAAGUAUGUUUGAAAUCAUGUAGAAACCAGACAAAGAAUAUUUUGUGCAUAAAGACCCUGAAGGUCUCAACUAUAUAACUUUUAAUAAAAUUCAAUUGAAACUGUAUUUCUGGGCAACUGAGGGGAGGCCGAGUUGAGCUUUUUUUAUACAUAUGUUGCCAAGGUCCCCGAGCUCGGUGUACAAGCCUAUUGCUUGAGCUUUGUGCUUGGCACGGUGAGAAAGCUUGCUGCAGCCACCCUUCUGCUUUAUUGCACAAAUGUGACCGUGAAAGGUUAGAGAAAGGAGGCUAAAAUGUCACAUAUUUCCAUAAAGUUAUGUUACAAAAAGUGAUAAAAAUUAGAUGCCUAGUUGCUGUGCGUUUUGACAUACAAUUAUCAAAUGUGGUAAAAAUCAUUAAAAUCAUAAUCCAGCAUGUGGUCUGUAAUCGUGAGGGUAAAUGUAUUCUGUAGUACAGAUUUUUUUUUUUUUUAAAUAAAAUCAUGCAUACUAGAUUUGAUCAUUUGAUCUGUAGCUAUGCUCACUUUAUAUAUUUCAAAAUGUACGGGUGUCUCCCUUUUCCUAGUUUUUAUAACAAUAACCACUCUGUGUUGCAGCUUUAUUUUAAAUCCACACUUCAAAUCAUUGAAAUGGCAAUGAAAUCGUAUUUACCAUCUAAUAAAGAUUUAAAAAAUAAA